AAAGUCAUGGCUCGUGGUAAUAAGACAUGCAGGCUCCAAGAUAGGUCCUCUCAACCACCAGCUGCUCCUGAUAGGGAUGCUAGUAGGGUCGAGGAAUCAGUUCAUCCGACCCAUGAUCAGCGGAGAUAUGGGGAUGUAGCCCAGCCUGACUUAAUAGCUGAUAGGAUUGCCACUGCUGUUGCUUCUGCUCUACGUAAUACAGAUAAAGAUUUUAGUAUAGAGCGGGCUACUAAACUAGGAGCUAAAGUAUUUACAGGCACAGCUGAUCCAGUAGAAGCGGAAUCAUGGAUGGUGAGAAUUGAAAGAAUAUUUGAUGUGAUGGAUUGUCCUGAUGAUCGAAAAUUACGACUAG
rnacentral:lncRNA from 1 species